UACGUAGGGUGCGAGCGUUGUCCGGAUUUAUUGGGCGUAAAGAGCUCGUAGGCGGCCUGUCGCGUCGGAUGUGAAAGCCCGGGGCUUAACCCCGGGUCUGCAUUCGAUACGGGCAGGCUAGAGUGUGGUAGGGGAGAUCGGAAUUCCUGGUGUAGCGGUGAAAUGCGCAGAUAUCAGGACGAACACCUAUGGCGAAGGCAGCUCUCUGGGACGGUACUGACGCUGAGACGCGAAAGCGUGGGGAGCGAACAGG
rnacentral:rRNA from 1 species